CCCUUAGAUGUCCUGGGCCGCACGCGCGCUACAAUGAUGCAACCAACGAGUGCUGCUCCUUGGCCGAGAGGCCCGGGGAACCUUGCAAACUGCAUCGUGCUGGGGAUAGAUGAUUGCAAUUCUUCAUCUUGAACGAGGAAUGCCUUGUAAGCGUGAGUCAUCAACUCGCGCUGAAUACGUCCCUGCCCUUUGUACACACCGCCCGUCGCUCCUACCGAUUGAGUGGUCCGGUGAGGCUUUGGGAUCUGAGCGGAAAGAGCGUUUCGCUGUUUCUGCUCGGAAAACUCAGUCGAACCUUAUCAUUUAGAGGAAGGAGAAGUCGUAACA
rnacentral:rRNA from 1 species